GUUGGUUCAGUACGUUCUCUAAUAAGACUCGCUCAGCAAAUGAAUUAAUGAAUUUUGUAGUCUAAUUAUUCAAAAAAAAUAUAUCUUCGUUAAUUAUUAUAUAUUAUAUCGAAUUGAGUCUGUUGAAAAAUCGUGAGUGGAUAUUAUGUUUUGUAAAAUUGGGAUAUUAACCCACUCAGGAAGAUGAACGAUCAGGAUUGGACAUAGGAACGCCCUCAAGACUUUCUCCAUAAGUCAACAUAGUUACUCUUAUUGGAAAUGGACGAUGGGUAAUUACUUCAGAGUCGUCACUCGAUAGAAGGAUGAAAGAUAUUAAAUUUUACUCCUUGCUCUCUACUCAGUCUGGGGUCAGACAUUUCCUCAUAGAUGGAAUAGACGAUGCCUUCAAUAAUAAAGGGUUCUUUGUAGGACUCGUAUCGUGUUUAGAAGCGUAUAAAUUCAGACAAGACUCUGGGACUUUGGAUUUUCAUACAUGACAAAAUAUUAAUAUAGCUCUUGCUCCUCACUGAUUCACUAAGAAUAAUCUUUAUUGGAUAAUCAUCACUAAGUAUAGAAUCCUUAUAGUAUAAUUAUCAUUAAGUCCAGAACCUUUAUAGUAUAAUCAAUCGUCAUAAGAAGUAAAGAAGGAAUGUUAAUUUUAUAAACUCUCUAACUACUAACAAAUCCUUUGAUUCAAUGACUACGUGUUUGAUCUAUUCAUCUCUCAAAGAUUGGCUUAAGCAUAUACUUCCCUUGUGCUUUAUGAUCAUCAUAAUAGUCAAUGUUUAUAUAAUAAAUAUUGAGCAUGGAUGCUCAAAGUUCUUCACUUUUAGUUUGACCCCUGGGUAAUGUAAGACACCCUAAUAUACACUUACCUUUUCAUUCUAGAUAUACUUUGUUUUGACAUGUGAAAGAAAAUGACAUCAACUUUCAGCUUUAUUGUAUUCAAGCUAAUUCUGCCACCCAUGUGA
rnacentral:lncRNA from 1 species